AAUUCUGCAGCUGUCGGCGGCAUGCUGUGUGAUUCAGCGAACAUUGGAAAUUCUUAACAUGACGCUCAUGCUUCUGGACAGAUUGAAUGAUUCACUUCAAGAAGCUCUGACGUGUAGCACAUGCAUGGCAGCCAUUUUACAGCAGGAGGAGAGAUGGAGGAAGAAAGGUCUCAGAGUUUAAAAUUAGAGGCACAGCAAAGAGGAAAGAAGGAUAUGAAAAAAGAAUGCAGAUCAGAUACAGGAAUGAUGCAGAGGAUAUACAGACCCAGACAGAGAACUGGACAAGCAUGUGGAAUUCAGUGACCCCACUUUAGAGAACCCAGGGAGCACCAUCCAGAGAUUCUGACUGUCCCGGCUGCAGAGACGUGAUGUCCACUCACUGUCGAAGAAGGAAACACGGCCUGGUCAGACGCUAGCGCCAGCAUUCCUCAGAUUACAGAAACCUCAUUUCCGCCCUGCAUAAACACGGCAGCCCCGCUGAGGACUACAAUGCUGUUAAAAUUGCUCUUCAGAACAUAACUAUGAUUGAUGAGUGCCGCUGUGCGUCACGGGCAUUUCCACCGUGCCCUCGUCUCAUACGCCGGUUGUUCGGCGUGGCCAGAGAUGAGCGGUGUCAGCAGAACGCAGGGCGUGCUUCGGGAAGUUUUUGGUUCCAGAGCGGGUUUGACCGGAAUAGUCUAUGUGAGGCACACCCUCCCGCUUCCCACAGCGUGCGGCCCUGAGGAUCGUUCUGUUCUCUCGGCUGAAACCCUGAUGCGUGGCUUUGGGGCGCGUUCGCUUCUGCGUGGACCGCUCGGUUUCUCCCCCCUUUCAUGUUCCGGAAACAGCAUUUCCCGCUGAACUCUCGCCCGCGCUGCUGAAGAGCUCGGCGCGAUCGCCCCCAUCAGAGAGGACGGGGCCUCCCUCUCGCCCCGUGCCUAGGAGGCUCUGAUACUCUGCCAGGGGCAGGGAGAGGUCGGGGCAGGAUGUGAGGAGGUGAAAUACGCGGCGACGCCUUCAUGCUUUGACAUUCACUUCACAGAAAACACUCCUCCCAACUACAAUGAGUUUAUAAAGGAGUCUAUUAAUGUUUCCUCAAGAUCCCAGAUUCGUAAGAGCGGAGUCGACAGUAGAGA